GUGUGACUGCGUACCUUUUGUAUAAUGGGUCAGCGACUUAUAUUCUGUAGCAAGGUUAACCGAAUAGGGGAGCCGAAGGGAAACCGAGUCUUAACUGGGCGUUAAGUUGCAGGGUAUAGACCCGAAACCCGGUGAUCUAGCCAUGGGCAGGUUGAAGGUUGGGUAACACUAACUGGAGGACCGAACCGACUAAUGUUGAAAAAUUAGCGGAUGACUUGUGGCUGGGGGUGAAAGGCCAAUCAAACCGGGAGAUAGCUGGUUCUCCCCGAAAGCUAUUUAGGUAGCGCCUCGUGAAUUCAUCUCCGGGGGUAGAGCACUGUUUCGGCAAGGGGGUCAUCCCGACUUACCAACCCGAUGCAAACUGCGAAUACCGGAGAAUGUUAUCACGGGAGACACACGGCGGGUGCUAACGUCCGUCGUGAAGAGGGAAACAACCCAGACCGCCAGCUAAGGUCCCAAAGUCAUGGUUAAGUGGGAAACGAUGUGGGAAGGCCCAGACAGCCAGGAUGUUGGCUUAGAAGCAGCCAUCAUUUAAAGAAAGCGUAAUAGCUCACUGGUCGAGUCGGCCUGCGCGGAAGAUGUAACGGGGCUAAACCAUG
rnacentral:rRNA from 1 species